rnacentral:rRNA from 2 species
GGUUAAGCGACUAAGCGUACACGGUGGAUGCCCUGGCAGUCAGAGGCGAUGAAGGACGUGCUAAUCUGCGAUAAGCGUCGGUAAGGUGAUAUGAACCGUUAUAACCGGCGAUUUCCGAAUGGGGAAACCCAGUGUGAUUCGUCACACUAUCAUUAACUGAAUCCAUAGGUUAAUGAGGCGAACCGGGGGAACUGAAACAUCUAAGU